GAAGACACCCAAGCCUUUAUUUUCUUUUGCAGAAGACGAACCUUUUCUGCAGGAAGUGGAGAUGGUGGAGACCUUCUCAGUGGGCCAGGAAAACAGUGGGGAAAUUGAGCAGGCAGAAAAUUGCUCAUUUGGACUGCAACGGAGGCUGUUUAUUUCGGGUUAAAGGACGACCCGGCUUACUGCAGAAAAGCUGUGAGGCUAACAGUGCGUCGAAACCAAAAUAAGAAGCACACAAAAGUAGGCGACAAGAUACAGGCCACCCAGAGUCAUCGGAAACGAGAUGUGCAGCAAAUAAGUUUCAUAAAUAAUUAGCUAAAUGUAUGUAGUCCUCGACUUACAACGGCUUGUUCAGUGACGGUUCGAAGUUACAACGGCACUGAAAAAUGUGACUUGUGCCCGUUUUUCACACUUACAACCGUUGCAGCAUCCCCCUGGGUCACAUGAUCAAGAUUUGGAUGCUUAGCAACUUAGUGACUCAUACUUAUGACGGUCACAGUGUCCCAACCUUCUGACCAGCAAAAUCAACGGGGAAGCCAGAUUCAUUUAACAGCCUGGUUCCCAAAUUAACAACUGGGGUGAUUCCCUUGACAACUAUGGCCAGAAAAGUCG